rnacentral:rRNA from 1 species
AUUGAACGCUGGCGGCAGGCCUAACACAUGCAAGUCGAGCGAGCGGCGGACGGGUGAGUAAUGUCUGGGAAACUGCCUGAUGGAGGGGGAUAACUACUGGAAACGGUAGCUAAUACCGCAUACCAUCAGAUGUGCCCAGAUGGGAUUAGCUAGUAGGUGGGGUAACGGCUCACCUAGGCGACGAUCCCUAGCUGGUCUGAGAGGAUGACCAGCAACACGGGAACUGAGACAGGGUACAGACUCCUAGGGGAGGCAGAAGUGGGGAAUAUUGCACGAUGGGCGCAAGCCGGAGGCAGCCAUGCCGCGUAAGGGAAGAAGGCAUUCGGGUUGUAAAGGAAUUUCAGCGGGGAGGCGUUACCCGCAGAGGAAGCAGCGGAAAACUCCGUGCCAGCAGCCGCGGUAAUUC